AUUGAACGCUGGCGGCAUGCUUUACACAUGCAAGUCGAACGGCAGCACGGACUUCGGUCUGGUGGCGAGUGGCGAACGGGUGAGUAAUACAUCGGAACGUACCCAGUAAUGGAGGAUAACUAUCCGAAAGGAUAGCUAAUACCGCAUACGCCCUACGGGGGAAAGAGGGGGAUCGCAAGACCUCUUGUUAUUGGAGCGGCCGAUGGCUGAUUAGCUAGUUGGUAGGGUAAAGGCCUACCAAGGCAACGAUCAGUAGCGGGUCUUAGAGGACGAUCCGCCACACUGGAACUGAGACACGGUCCAGACUCCUACGGGAGGCAGCAGUGGGGAAUCUUGGACAAUGGCCGCAAGCCUGAUCCAGCAAUGCCGCGUGCGUGAAGAAGGCCUUCGGGUUGUAAAGCGCCUUUGUCAGGGAGCAAAUCCUUGUGGCUAAUACCCACCGGGGAUGAGAGUACCUGAAGAAUAAGGACCGGCUAACUACGUGCCAGCCGCCGCGGUAAAAC
rnacentral:rRNA from 1 species